CUUAGGGAAAGGUGACUCUGUCGUCUGGAGAAGCGGCUCCUGUGUGGCCCUCAGGGACUGCCUAUUUGGCAGCUCUGUCUCUGCCUUCACCUCCAGCGUGGACUUUGCCUUCCAGAUCAACUCCACCUGUUGCCAAGGCAACUGCCAAGCACUCACUCCUCCCGAAGGGGUGCCAGACUCACACCCCCUGAGCGGGUUCCUGUGUCCUACAUGUCCUAACGGCCACCCGGGGCCCUGCAAUUCCUCCUUCUACGUGCAGUGUCCCAUCGGGGAGACUGAAUGUGUCCAGCUGGACCUGCUGUCUAUAGAAGGCAGCCAGAACGUGACCCUGCGCGGCUGCGGCUCCCAAAACCUGUGCGGGGUCUCCGCCGCCACCGCCAAGGCGCUGCUGACGUUCCCCGGCCACCGGCUGGCCCACCAGCCCCACUGCAGCACCACCCGGCGCGCCAUCCUGGAAUCCGAGUGCCCCUCUGGCGCGCCGCCUGGCCUCCCCCUCGCCCGGUCCGUGCUGCUGGUGGCCCUGGGCUUCCUGGCCCUCUCCUGAGCAGUCCCGCCUCCACCCUAACCCUCCACCACCCUCGCCCGGCAGCCACUCAACCCCGCUUGCUUCCCACCUCGCUAGAGGGCGCCCUGGCUCCCCUCCCCUUCCACGUUUCUAGGCCUGGAAGCUUCCGGUGAGAAAAGUCAGAAGGACUGAGCCUCCUCCCUCAGACUAAGGGCUUCCCCAAGGCAAGUCCUCUUGCUUAACACCAGGGUCCCAAAGGAUGCAGCUCCUCCCUCCUACUAGGCUGUACUUCUCAGACCUCAGACUAGAGAGGCCUCUGCGGACACACAAUCUUCAUAUGGGGGGGGGGGGGGGGAGGGGUGUGCAAAGACUAAGCCUCUUUCCUCAAACUAGGGGGUCUCCAACACCUGGCCAUUCCCUUAGACUAGGGCUGUGUCUGUUUUCCUGAACAUUGGGAAACAGCCCCUUCUGUCUUCCUCUUUAGGGUUUAGCAAAGUCCUGGGCAGCUGAGAUGGGGCUUCAGGACCAAAUACACCCCCUUCCCAGGCUUGUAGAGCAGCCCAUUCUAUCCCCACCAGGGGCCCUCUUCUAUCUGGGUUCAGCCUCCCCUCUGUAACCAAAUCUGAAUGAACCGCAUCCCACAAUA